CAAUGAAGGAAGCAUGAUAAUGUGCACAUAAAUUGAAUUGGGUCUCUAGGCAUGCCCGCUCUAAUCCCAUUCGGCUUUGAUUUGGGGGCAUGAUUCCACAACAAAAUA